rnacentral:pre_miRNA from 1 species
AAUUUCAGCUGAAAAAGUCAUGAACAUAAAAGUUGUAGAACUCAUCAAGACAUACAACUUUUAUUUUAAUCAUUUCUUCAUCGAUAAAGUGAUAGUAACAUUGUUUAUAAAAUUUGCAGAUCACCCUUAUACUUUAUAAAACCAUAUGAGAGAAAUGUAAAUUUUGUGAUCAAUGUUACUAUCACUUUGUCGGAUGAAGAAAUGAUCAAAAUAAAAAUUAUAGAUCUUGAGGAGUUAUACAACUUUAUGUUGAUGACUUUUUCAGUUGAAAUC